ACGAAGGUCCCGAGCGUUGUUCGGAAUCACUGGGCGUAAAGGGAGCGUAGGCGGCGUGGUAAGUCAGACGUGAAAUCCCGGGGCUCAACCCCGGAACCGCGUCCGAUACUGCCGCGCUCAGAGGAUUGGAGAGGUAGCUGGAAUUCUUGGUGUAGCAGUGAAAUGCGUGGAUAUCAAGAGGAACACUCGUGGCGAAAGCGAGCUACUGGACAACUCCUGACGCUGAGGCUCGAAGGCCGGGGUAGCGAAAGG
rnacentral:rRNA from 1 species